AUUGCACGCUGGCGGCAGGCCUAACACAUGCAAGUCGAGCGCGCGGCGGACGGGUGAGUAAUAUCUGGGGAUCUGCCCGAUAGAGGGGGAUAACUACUGGAAACGGUGGCUAAUACCGCAUACUAUCGGAUGUACCCAUAUGGGAUUAGCUGGUAGGUGGGGUAACGGCUCACCAAGGCGACGAUCUCUAGCUGGUCUGAGAGGAUGACCAGCCACACUGGGACUGAGACACGGUCCAGACUCCUACGGGAGGCAGCAGUGGGGAAUAUUGCACAAGGGGCGCAAGCCUGAUGCAGCCAUGCCGCGUGUAUGAAGAAGGCCUUAGGGUUGUAAAGUACUUUCAGCGGGGAGGCGUUACCCGCAGAAGAAGCACCGGCUAACUCCGUGCCAGCCGCCGCGGUAAUUC
rnacentral:rRNA from 1 species